GAUGAGCGCUAGCGGCAGGCUUAAUACAUGCAAGUCGAGGGGGCAGCAAUGUCACCGGCGAACGGGUGCGUAACGCGUAUGCAACCUACCUACAUCAGGGGGAUAGCCCUAGGAAACUGGGAUUGACACCGCAUAAUAUAAGCUACGGCAUCGUAACUUAUUGAAAUAUUUAUAGGAUGUAGAUGGGCAUGCGUAGGAUUAGCUAGUUGGUAAGGUAACGGCUUACCAAGGCUACGAUCCUUAGGGGCUCUGAGAGGAGUAUCCCCCACACUGGCACUGGGGUACGGGCAAGACUCCUACGGGAGGCAGCAGUAGGGAAUAUUGGGCAAUGGAGGCAACUCUGACCCAGCCAUGCCGCGUGCAGGAAGACGGUCCUCUGGAUUGUAAACUGCUUUUGAAUGGGAAGAAUGUGCUCCUUGCGAGGAGUAAUGACGGUACCAUUAGAAUAAGCCACGGCUAACUACGUGCCAGCCGCCGCGGUAA
rnacentral:rRNA from 1 species